rnacentral:tRNA from 1 species
CAAAAAAUAAUUUAUUUAAGAAUAUUAAUUUUGGAGAUUAGAAGUAUAAUUUAAUAUUAUUUUUUUGA